rnacentral:rRNA from 1 species
GAACGAACGCUGGCGGCAGGCCUAACACAUGCAAGUCGAGGGUGAAGCCGGACUUCGGUCUGGUGGAAACCGGCGCACGGGUGAGUAACGCGUGGGAACCUAUCCUGAGGUGGGGGAUAACCGCUGGAAACGGCGGCUAAUACCGCAUACGCCCCUCUUGGUGACGCUUCAGCGCCCUGGGAGGGUCCCGCGUCCGAUUAGCUUGUUGGUGGGGUAACGGCCCACCAAGGCUUCUAUCGGUAGCUGGUCUGAGAGGAUGAUCAGCCACACUGGGACUGAGACACGGCCCAGACUCCUACGGGAGGCAGCAGUGGGGAAUAUUGGACAAUGGGCGCAAGCCUGAUCCAGCCAUGCCGCGUGAGUGAAGAAGGCCUUAGGGUUGUAAAGCUCUUUCACCCGCGAAGAUGAUGACGGUAGCGGGAGAAGAAGCCCCGGCUAACUCCGUGCCAGCAGCCGCGGUAAUACGGAGGGGGCGAGCGUUGUUCGGAAUUACUGGGCGUAAAGGGCGCGUAGGCGGGCCGAUUAGUCGAGAUUUAAAUGCCACGGCUUAACCGUGGACCUGGUCUCGAUACUGUCGGUCUUGAGUUUGGUAGAGGCAAGCGGAAUUCCUGGUGUAGCGGUGAAAUGCGUAGAUAUCAGGAAGAACACCGAAGGCGAAGGCAGCUUGCUGGGCCAAAACUGACGCUGAGGAGCGAAAGCGUGGGUAGCGAACAGGAUUAGAUACCCUGGUAGUCCACGCCGUAAACGAUGAGUACUUGGUGGCGGGGGAUUCGACCCCUUCGCUGUCGGAGCUAACGCGUUAAGUACUCCACCUGGGGACUACGAUCGCAAGAUUGAAACUCAAAGGAAUUGACGGGGGCCCGCACAAGCGGUGGAUUAUGUGGUUUAAUUCGAUGCAACGCGAAGAACCUUACCUAGGCUUGACAUGUACAGGAAACUCUGGUGAAAGCCAGAGCCCCUGCGAGCUUGCUCAAAGGCCUGUUCACAGGUGAUGCAUGGCUGUCGUCAGCUCGUGUCGUGAGAUGUUGGGUUAAGUCCCGCAACGAGCGCAACCCCUGUCCUUAGUUGCCAGCACGUAAUGGUGGGGACUCUAGGGAGACUGCCUGGGAUAACCAGGAGGAAGGUGGGGAUGACGUCAAGUCAGUAUGUCCCUUAUGCUUAGGGCUACACACGUGUUACAAUGGUCAGUACAAAGGGUUGCUAAGCCGCGAGGUGGAGCCAAUCUCAAAAAACCGGUCUCAGUUCGGAUUGGAGUCUGCAACUCGACUCCAUGAAGGUGGAAUCGCUAGUAAUCGUGGAUCAGCAUGCCACGGUGAAUACGUUCCCGGGUCUUGUACACACCGC